GUGAGUCAUCGAAUCUUUGAACGCAUAUUGCACCCUCUGGUAUUCCGGGGGGUACACCUGUUCGAGCGCCAUUUUAAACCUUCAAGCAUAGCUUGGUGUUGGGUAGGGUCCUAAAGGACCCUACCCGUAACUCGUAGGCAGUUACCGCCUGUGCCCCUAGCGUAGCAAGCUCACGCAUUCGCUUUGGGACGGCGUGUAACUAUGCCAAAUAAAAACCCCCUCAAAGGUUUGGCCUCGGAUCAGGUGGGGAUACCCGCUGAACUUAAGCAUAUCAAUAAGCGGAGGA
rnacentral:misc_RNA from 1 species